GAUGAACGCUGGCGGCGUGCUUAACACAUGCAAGUCGAACGGAAAGGCUCCUGCUUGCAGGGGUACUCGAGUGGCGAACGGGUGGGUAACACGUGGGUGAUCUGCCCUGCACUUCGGGAUAAGCCUGGGAAACUGGGUCUAAUACCGGAUAGGACGAUGGUUUGGAUGCCAUUGUGGAAAGUUUUUCGGUGUGGGAUGAGCUCGCGGCCUAUCAGCUUGUUGGUGGGGUAAUGGCCUACCAAGGCGUCGACGGGUAGCCGGCCUGAGAGGGUGUACGGCCACAUUGGGACUGAGAUACGGCCCAGACUCCUACGGGAGGCAGCAGUGGGGAAUAUUGCACAAUGGGCGCAAGCCUGAUGCAGCGACGCCGCGUGGGGGAUGACGGCCUUCGGGUUGUAAACUCCUUUCGCUAGGGACGAAGCGUUUUGUGACGGUACCUGGAGAAGAAGCACCGGCUAACUACGUG
rnacentral:rRNA from 1 species